UGCAGUAACUUUAAAGGGAAACUUUCACAACGUCCGAAGCCCUAGGUGUCUUGCAGAUGAAAGAGGAUGUCCUUAAAUUCCUUGCUGCAGGAACCCAUUUGGGUGGCACUAAUUUGGACUUCCAGAUGAAACAGUAUAUCUACAAAAGAAAGAGUGAUGGCAUCUGCAUCAUCAAUUCGAAGAGAACUUGGGAAAAGCUUCUGCUGGCAAUUCGUGCCAUUGUCACCGCUGAAAUCCAGCUGAUGUUAGUGUCAUCUCAUCCAGGAACACUGGCCAGCGAGCUGUUCUAAAAUUUGCUGCUGCCACUGGCGCCACACCUAUCGCUGAACGUUUCACACCGAGCACCUUCACUAACCAGAUCCAGGCAGCUUUCAGGGAGCCUCGCCUCUUGGGGGUCACUGAUCCUUGGGCAGAUCACCAGCCUCUUACUGAAGCAUCUUAUGUUAACCUUCCAACCAUUGCAUUGUGCAACACAGACUCCCCACUUCACUCUGUGGACAUUGCCAUUCCAUGUAACAAUAAGGGAGCUCAGUGGGUCUGAUGUGGUGGAUACUGGUUCAUGAAGUCCUACGUAUGAGUGAUACCAUCUCCCGUAAACACACUUGGGAGGUUAUACCUGAUCUUUACUUCUACAGGGAUCCAGAAGAAAUUGAAAAGGAGGAGCAGGCCUCAGCUGAGAAGGCAGUGACAAAGGAGGAGUUUCAGGGUGAAUGGACUACACCUGCCCCAGAAUUCACUGCUACUCAACCGGGAGGUGGCUGAUUGAUCUGAGGGAGUACAGGUGCCAUCUGUGCCCAUUCAGCAGUUCCCUGCCAAAGAUUGGAGUGCUCAGCUGGCUAUGGAGGACUGGUCUGUGGCUCCUACUGCCCAAGCCGCCAAGUGGAUCUGCUUAUGAAGGUAUAAGAAGAGACCAGGCAGUUUUUCGCAGACAUAUAUCAGAAGUUCACUAAGGUCCUAUCUCCUUAUUAACAUCGGUAAAGAAAAGCAAUAUCGCCUGCCUCUUCCAGAACAUCAUUUCCCUAAAGCCCCAGCUAUACUUCAUUUCAUUCCCUCCUCUUCUCCACAACCCCAGACAGGUACCAUUUCCUUCAACCUCUUGCUCGAAUCCUAGAACCAAGAACCAAGCUCACAUCAACUCUUGCCAUUUUUCCUGGAUGGGAUGUAUCAUUC
rnacentral:lncRNA from 1 species